UACGUAGGGUGCGAGCGUUAAUCGGAAUUACUGGGCGUAAAGCGUGCGCAGGCGGUUUUGUAAGCCAGAUGUGAAAUCCCCGGGCUUAACCUGGGAAUGGCAUUUGGGACUGCAAGGCUUGAGUGCGGCUGAGGAGACUGGGAUUCCUGGUGUAGCAGUGAAAUGCGUAGAUAUCAGGAGGAACACCGAUGGCGAAGGCAGGUCUCUGGGCUGACACUGACGCUCAUGCACGAAAGCGUGGGGAGCAAACAGG
rnacentral:rRNA from 1 species